rnacentral:rRNA from 1 species
AUUGAACGCUGGCGGCAGGCCUAACACAUGCAAGUCGAGCGGAUGAAGGGAGCUUGCUCCUGGAUUCAGCGGCGGACGGGUGAGUAAUGCCUAGGAAUCUGCCUGGCAGUGGGGGAUAACGUCCGGAAACGGGCGCUAAUACCGCAUACGUCCUGAGGGAGAAAGUGGGGGAUCUUCGGACCUCACGCUAUCAGAUGAGCCUAGGUCGGAUUAGCUAGUUGGUGGGGUAAGGGCCUACCAAGGCGACGAUCCGUAACUGGCCUGAGAGGAUGAUCAGUCACACUGGAACUGAGCCACGGUCCAGACUCCUACGGGAGGCAGCAGUGGGGAAUAUUGGACAAUGGGCGAAAGCCUGAUCCAGCCAUGCCGCGUGUGUGAAGAAGGUCUUCGGAUUGUAAAGCACUUUAAGUUGGGAGGAAGGGCAGUAAGUUAAUACCUUGCUGUUUUGACGUUACCAACAGAAUAAGCACCGGCUAACUUCGUG